CCUACGGGAGGCAGCAGUGAGGAAUAUUGGUCAAUGGACGAGAGUCUGAACCAGCCAAGUAGCGUGAAGGAUGACUGCCCUAUGGGUUGUAAACUUCUUUUAUAUGGGAAUAAAACAGGGUACGCAUAACCCCUUGUAUGUACCAUAUGAAUAAGGAUCGGCUAACUCCGUGCCAGCAGCCGCGGUAAUACGGAGGAUCCGAGCGUUAUCCGGAUUUAUUGGGUUUAAAGGGUGCGUAGGCGGAUUGUUAAGUCAGUUGUGAAAGUUUGGGGCUCAACCGUAUAAUUGCAGUUGAAACUGGCAGCCUUGAGUGCAGUAGAGGUGGGCGGAAUGCGUGGUGUAGCGGUGAAAUGCUUAGAUAUCACGAAGAACUCCGAUUGCGAAGGCAGCUCACUGGACUGCAACUGACGCUGAUGCUCGAAAGUGUGGGUAUCAAACAGGAUUAGAUACCCUAGUAGUC
rnacentral:rRNA from 1 species